GGUGAUCUCCACGCGCCCCGCAAGAUCCUCCUGACACAGUUUUGGUCAAGUAUGACUAACUACUUUCCCAUCUCUAGGGUACUAACCGGUAGGAUGAUCCUGGUUCUUAUCUGAGGGCAAAGCCCAGAUUUCCACAAUAAUUGUAAAGGUCGCCAACCGAAAUUAACAAACAUCACAUAACAAAAUUCUUAUAUUUUCAAAUGCUCAAAAUAACCUUUCGUCUUAGCAUACUCCUCGAAAGGGUUUUCAUAUGUCCAAAAAUGCAUAAACACUGUUGAAAAAUGAAGUUUUGUCAAACUGCAUUGUCGUAGCCGAAUACAAUUGAGAAAAGGCAGAUUUUCAAUUCUAAAAUGGCUCUGAAUCAACCAACACUUCAAACAUUAAAUGUUAUCAACUAUGAACACAUAAUUAACACCAAAUUAAUCUCCACAAAUUCACACCUCAAUCACACAUCGAAUAUUCAUUAAAUCAAUUAUGAACACAUAAAUACAUCAAAAGUUGAUCAACCUAACUUCACACCUCAAAGUAAUUACGACAAAUCACAACAACAACUGAAUAUGUAUAUACAAUUAUCAAAGUAUAACAAACAUGCCUCGCGUGCCAAGCACCAUAAUGCAAUGCGUAUAUGCCAAAAUGCAUCAUUUCGAAAUUCCAAACCAAAACCCUCCUCGAGGGGCGUAAAUCAUAAUUUUACAGCCUCUCACAGACCAUUACUAAUUACCGAGGUGCAAUCUCUCACGGAUCAGCACGAUUUACUAGCGUGCAGUCUCUCACAGACCAACACGACAUACAAGAGUGCAGUCGCUCACAGACCAGCACAAUUUUCUAGAGUGCAAUUGCUCACAGAUCAUCACAUUCUAGAGUGCAAUCUCUCACAGAUCAGCACGACGCGACAAUCCCUGCAAGGAUAAGAUGAACCAACAAUUCACAUGGCAUCAUCCCGUGGCCCAUCACGGUCACCACUAUCACCAUGGCCCCAUCGCGGUCACCAUGUACUAUGAAAUGCAUGAGCAUACUCUGACUCUUUUCACCACAAUCAUUAAGUAAAUGCAGUUAUUAAAAGAUUCCCCAUUUUUAAUACUCAUUUAACACUAAUGAUUUUUCAAACACCACACAGAGCAUACUCAAACAUAUUUAUUCACACCAAUUUAAAUUUCCACAACCACACAUAAAUCACAUCUCCAAAUUUCAUCCACACCUAAAUUGAAUUAAAUUCAUUUUCCACCAAGUCACACAUAAAUUUCAUCUCAAAAAUUCAUAAUAUUAAUUAUGAACACAUCAAUUUCACCUAACAUAAAUCACCAAAAUUUC
rnacentral:lncRNA from 1 species